rnacentral:sRNA from 8 species
UUGCUAUCUGCGAUAUGGAAGAUUCGAACCUGCCGCAGGUUCGGGUCGAACGCAGUGAGACAACGGAGCCGUUUACGGCAACGGCCCGUAGGGCGAGGCGAAGCCGAGUCAUCCUGCACGACCCACCA